UACGAAGGGUGCAAACGUUGCUCGGAAUUACUGGGCGUAAAGCGCGUGUAGGCGGUUGCCCAAGUCGGGUGUGAAAGCCUUGAGCUCAACUCAAGAAAAUGCACUCGGUACUGGGGUGACUAGAGGACCGGAGAGGAUAGUGGAAUUCCUAGUGUAGAGGUGAAAUUCGUAGAUAUUAGGAAGAACACCGGUGGCGAAGGCGGCCCACUGGAUCGGUACUGACGCUGAGGUGCGAAAAGCGUGGGGAGCAAACAGG
rnacentral:rRNA from 1 species